rnacentral:rRNA from 1 species
GACGAACGCUGGCGGCGUGCUUAACACAUGCAAGUCGAACGGAAAGGCCCUGCUUUUGUGGGGUGCUCGAGUGGCGAACGGGUGAGUAACACGUGAGUAACCUGCCCUUGACUUUGGGAUAACUUCAGGAAACUGGGGCUAAUACCGGAUAGGAGCUCCUGCUGCAUGGUGGGGGUUGGAAAGUUUCGGCGGUUGGGGAUGGACUCGCGGCCUAUCAGCUUGUUGGUGGGGUAGUGGCUUACCAAGGCUUUGACGGGUAGCCGGCCUGAAAGGGUGACCGGCCACAUUGGGACUGAGAUACGGCCCAGACUCCUACGGGAGGCAGCAGUGGGGAAUAUUGCACAAUGGGCGGAAGCCUGAUGCAGCAACGCCGCGUGCGGGAUGACGGCCUUCGGGUUGUAAACCGCUUUCGCCUGUGACGAAGCGUGAGUGACGGUAAUGGGUAAAGAAGCACCGGCUAACUACGUG